rnacentral:rRNA from 1 species
UACGUAGGGGGCAAGCGUUGUCCGGAAUCAUUGGGCGUAAAGAGCGUGUAGGCGGUUCGGUAAGUCGGCUGUGAAAGUCCAGGGCUCAACCCUGGGAUGCCGGUCGAUACUGCCGGACUAGAGUUCGGAAGAGGCGAGUGGAAUUCCCGGUGUAGCGGUGAAAUGCGCAGAUAUCGGGAGGAGCACCUAUGGCGAAGGCAGCUCGCUGGGACGUUACUGACGCUGAGACGCGAAAGCGUGGGGAGCGAACAGG